rnacentral:rRNA from 1 species
AGAGUUUGAUCCUGGCUCAGGAUGAACGCUAGCGGCAGGCUUAAUACAUGCAAGUCGAGGGGUAGCAGGGUAGCAAUACCGCUGACGACCGGCAAACGGGUGCGGAACACGUACACAACCUUCCUUUUAGUGGGGAAUAGCCCAGAGAAAUUUGGAUUAACACCCCGUAAGAUAUUAGAACGGCAUCGUUUAGAUAUUAUAGGUUUACCGCUAAGAGAUGGGUGUGCGGCUGAUUAGGUAGUUGGCGGAGUAACAGCCCACCAAGCCAACGAUCAGUAGCUGAUGUGAGAGCAUGAUCAGCCACACGGGCACUGAGACACGGGCCCGACUCCUACGGGAGGCAGCAGUAAGGAAUAUUGGACAAUGGACGCAAGUCUGAUCCAGCCAUGCCGCGUGAAGGAUUAAGGCCCUCUGGGUUGUAAACUUCUUUUAUAGGGGACGAAAAAAGGGCUUUCUAGCUCGACUGACGGUACCCUAUGAAUAAGCACCGGCUAACUCCGUGCCAGCAGCCGCGGUAAUACGGAGGGUGCAAGCGUUAUCCGGAUUCACUGGGUUUAAAGGGUGCGUAGGCGGGCAGUUAAGUCAGUGGUGAAAUCUUCGAGCUCAACUCGGAAACUGCCGUUGAUACUAUCUGUCUUGAAUAC